UUUCCCGGCAGCGGCACUGC
rnacentral:misc_RNA from 1 species